GAUGAACGCUGGCGGCGUGCCUAAUACAUGCAAGUCGAGCGAACAGAUGAGGAGCUUGCUCCUCUGACGUUAGCGGCGGACGGGUGAGUAACACGUGGAUAACCUACCUAUAAGACUGGGAUAACUUCGGGAAACCGGAGCUAAUACCGGAUAAUAUAUUGAACCGCAUGGUUCAAUAGUGAAAGACGGUUUUGCUGUCACUUAUAGAUGGAUCCGCGCCGCAUUAGCUAGUUGGUAAGGUAACGGCUUACCAAGGCAACGAUGCGUAGCCGACCUGAGAGGGGGGACCGCCCACCCGGAACCGAGAACAGGUUCCAGUCGCUAAGGGAGGGAACAUUUGGGAAUCCUCCGGAAUGGGCGAAAGCCUGACGGAGCAACGCCGCCGUGACGAAGAAAGUCUUCGGAUCGUAAAACUUUGUUAUUAGGGAAGAACAAAUGUGUAAGUAACUAUGCACGUCUUGACGGUAACUAAUCAGAAAGCCACGGCUAACUACGUG
rnacentral:rRNA from 1 species